CAGAAUAUAGCUUAAAUUAAAGCUCCUCGCUUACACCGAAUUAAUGUCCGUUAAAUCCGAACUACUCUGAG
rnacentral:tRNA from 1 species